rnacentral:rRNA from 1 species
UGAGGAAUAUUGGUCAAUGGGCGAGAGCCUGAACCAGCCAAGUAGCGUGCAGGAUGACGGCCCUAUGGGUUGUAAACUGCUUUUAUAUGGGAAUAAAGUGAGGGACGUGUCCCUUAUUGCAUGUACCAUAUGAAUAAGGACCGGCUAAUCCCGUGCCAGCAGCCGCGGUAAUACGGAAGGUCCAGGCGUUAUCCGGAUUUAUUGGGUUUAAAGGGAGCGUAGGCUGUUUGUUAAGCGUGUUGUGAAAUGUAAGAGCUCAACUUUUAGAUUGCAGCGCGAACUGGCAGACUUGAGUGCGCACAACGUAGGCGGAAUUCAUGGUGUAGCGGUGAAAUGCUUAGAUAUCAUGACGAACUCCGAUUGCGAAGGCAGCUUACGGGAGCGCAACUGACGCUAAAGCUCGAAGGUGCGGGUAUCGAACAGG